AUUGACAGCCCUAAUUAUUUCCUGACAGAUGAUUGGUUGAAGCCCUACAGCAUGAGAUUUGAUUAUCUUAUCUUAACACAGAACUGAAAGUGUUAUGAGUAUGCAGAGUGCAAUGCAGGCAAUCCUGUUCUGCCUAUGGCUCCUGAAGGAAGGGGAGGAGCAGGGGGAUUCAGAUUCACAGAUUUCAAGGCCAGAACGGACCUCCACAACCAUCCAGCUUGAACCUCUGCACAUAAAGGUAGAACGCUAAGGUGCGUCUGAGGUCGAGGGAAUGAAGUCGCCUCUCCUCAUCAGAAGCACGGGGUUUCAGGAAUAAAAUAGGUAAGCAGAUAGUUUGGUUGAUGUGGAUUUCAGAAAUACCCUGAAGAAGAAUUUAGGAUGUAGGUGAAGGGAGAAAAACAGCAUACGGUAGGUCUGCCAGGAGGGCUCCCAACUCACUCACCCUUCUGGUUGAGGAAACAGCAACUAGAAACAUGACUUCCAUGGACAGGUGCGACAUGGAGCAUGUUACCAUGGGUUCAAAUGGUGGCCUGGUGAGUGCUAAUAGGAUGAGGUUGAGGUCACAUUCAGGUGUAAGUUUUACAACUGACAGAGAAAGGUCCUGACUAGGCUUUUAAUAAACCUCACUGUCAGGCAGGCACUGACGGCUGCAAGAUGGGCCAAUGGAAGGACUUGCGUUUUUUAAAAACAGGAAAUAAUCUUAAAACAACUAAGAUAUUUGCAGAAGUUGGAGGUGGCGGUUUAUUCUGAGCCUAGGUAGACAAGCGUCUCCUUUUAGCGAAGUAGCAGGUUCUAAAUCUUUCCUACUUUGAGUAAAAAUAGCUUGGCCUGGUGCUGAGCAAGAGUGUUCUCAUUCUGAUGCCCAUCCAAAACACUAAGCCAUGAGGUUGAGAGGGUAUGGAUUGGGGUGGCUGAUUCUGCCCCCUUCCAGAAUAAGGAAAAGGCAGAUCCCAAAAGGAUGGUGGCUUGACAUUCUCAGGAGCUACCGGAACCAAAAGUAUCUUGGCAUGAGAAGAAUGACUCUGGCCCUGUCCUAGAACCAUAGAAUAUCAGGAUUGGAAGGGACCUCAGGAGGUCAUCUAGUCCAACCCCCUGCUCAAAGCAGGACCAAUCCCCAGGAUAGAUUUUUGCCCCUAAGCCUUAAAUGACCCCCUCAAGGACUGAACUCACAACUCUGGGUUUAGCAGGCCAACGCUCAAACCACUGAGCUGUCCCUCUGAGGGAUGUUUCUCAAGACCUGUGGUAACAGGGGAAUGGGAGGAAAGGCAUAUCUGAGAUUGUCUGUCCAUGAGAACAGGAAAGCAUGGUCCUGGAAGCUGUGAUCUAUAGCUCCUCUGGCGAAAUACAAGUGAAGCUUCCUGUUCAUUUGGGACAUGAAGAGAUCCCAUUGAGGUGUUCCCCACUGAGUGGAUAUCUAGCUCAGGAUAGAGCUGAGUAUCUCCCAUGCAUGGUUUGCAGAGAAGUGUCUGUUCAGGUUCUCUGUUGGGGAGUUUUGGGUAUUUGGAAGGUAUGUGGCUGGGACUGAUGUAGUUUGUGAUGUACCAGUUCCAAAGCCUGACUCCUACAAAAAGGGGAAGACAUCUAGCUCUACCCCCCCCCUUUUUUUUUUAUGUAAGACCAUGGUGAUGUUGUCUGACAUUACUUGGACAUGAAGAGAAUGAAUGAAUGGGAGAAAAGCCCUGCAUGCCAGGUGGACCGCUCUCAGUUCCAGUAGAUGGAUGUGCAGUCUGGCGUCCCAGGUGAUCCAGGUACUGGGUUCAAUCUCUUGGUAAGAGAGAUGCUGACCAUGGUGAGAAAAGUCAUUCUGGUGAUGAUGUGAUCCUGGUCUGGUGAACAGACUGACUAGAGCCAGGUCACUGGGCAGCGUAGAUGAAGCCUGCUGAACGGUGUGUCAUAAGUACAGGAGGCCACAUGACCUAGAAUAAAGGCACGUCCUGACCAUAGUCCUUGGUCUGCGAGUCAUCAGUGCUAUCCGAUUGUUCAUUAACUAAAAUCUUUCCAUGAGGAGGAAAGCUCUUGUUGGAAUGGAGUCCAGUGUCACUCUGAUCAUCUGUGUGGGUGUUAAAACAAACUUUUCUUUGUUUAAACAGACACCCACCGCUUCCAGAAGAUGUAGAAAGAACAAAGAUGCUGAUCUGAACUCAUGGCUGCAAUGACCUACUACGAGCCAAUUGCUGAGAUAUUGGAAAACUGUGUAACCCUGACAUCUCAUUUGGGCUGCCACCACAAAGACGACCUCUGUAAAUACUCUGGGUGCUGUUGCUAGUCCAAAGGGAAGGUCUCUGAACUGCAAAUGUUCCUGAUCCAUUCGAAACCAAAAGGAACUUUCUGUGGGACAGAUGAAUAUCUACAUGGAAAUAGGCAUCCUUCAUGUUGCUUGCCACAAACCACAUUCUCUCCUGUAGAAAGGGGAUUAUUGAUGCUAGCCUAACCAUCUAAAAUUUGGCUUUUGAAUAAAGAUGCUCAGUUGUUGAAGGUCCAGAAUGCGUCUCCACCCUCCGUCUUUUGGGGGGACUAAAAAAUAAGACGUAUAGGACCUCUUCCUUGAUACUGAGGUGGCACUUGUUCUAUUACCUCUUGUCUGGAGGUGGGCUCCCUCCUGCAUCUCAUGAGAAUGAUCCCUGAAGGGGGACCAGGAAGGGUUUUGUGAGGAGGGAGGGAAACUCUACAGAGUAUGCUUGAUGGAUAAUUUCUAAUACCCAGCUAUCAAGAGAAAGUCCCAAUUUUGGGUGCAAAGUGAGAGGGAGCCCCCAAAGAUAAGGAGGGGAGGGAUUGAUGUGGGUGGCAUCAGUAGUGGUGGACAGAUCUUGUCUGAGAUAUCGAAAGUAUCCCUUACUGGAUAGCUGGGAAUGGAUAGAGGUUUUGGUAGUAGAGGGGUUUGGCUG